UCGAGAACCGCGGCUAUAAUCUCUGUGGGCCUUGCUAGGUUAUGAGCGUAGGGAUGCGGUGCUCCUCUUUAUGUAAUUUCACUUGUUCCCCCGUUCCCCGCUUCGCCGCUUUCGUUCCCCUCACACACAGGGUGGCUGGCGGUGGCUGGCUGUCACCCUAACGGCCAGGGAUAGCCGCACGGCCCAAGUUGGUAGCAGUUGGUAGCAGGCGCACUCGGCCUUCGGCGGAUACAUAACGUGCUCCUGCUGUUCUUGUUGAUGGGGUGUUACACUGUGGGCGGCUCGCCCGAUAAAGGACGAGCACCGGGGGCCCUGACCGGGCCGAAACACAGCGCAGGGAUGGGCGCGCGGCUCUACGUCCGUCUGUUCCUCCGCGCGCGCCUCGAUCCCUCACUCACGCCAACCGGGACACUCUCCCAGCCCCUGGCUAGGCAACACAGCGGCGCAAACCGAUCUAUGCAAGAACCGCACGAAAGGCGCCACUUCGCCUGGCCUGCCUAUUCACGCGCUCUCGUCCCUCUUGACCGCCAAAACAAGAGCAAAAAGAAAACACCACCGGGGGCAGGGGCUCUACUCAGGGGGCUCCACUACACACUCAACAAAAACCAGGGCCCCACGCAGCCAGCAAGGCAAGAGAUACACAGAGGACCACGGGCCUGAGACGACACACCACAAAAGCCGAGAUACGGAUGCACAGAGAAGACCAACACAAAGGGAGUACUCGCACACUGGUCCUCGAAGGCCAGCUGUUCAACUACCACGAGCAACGAACAACGAACACUUCCCGAGGGUGGCCACCACUACCUCUCCGGUCCACUCACAAACGAGGCGAAACUGGUCCGCACGUCAGUCUCCUCCUGGGGGUUGCGGGCUCUCGGAUGCAGCCCAGCGCGAGACACAGCAAAAACACCUAUAGCCGCGGGGGGGAUGACAAGCCAGCACGGCGCCCCCCUAUAAAGCCCGGAGAAGGCACGGCUCACAGACGCCGCCUGCUCUCGCUUACCACACUGAAAUCCCUCCCCUCCUGACCCUGACCGGCCGGAGCCAGCAACACCUGUUCUCCACCUCCAAACCACUCUCCUCCACCGCUUUCCCACCUCCUCUCCGCUCCCACAAGCCACCUACGUGUUCUCUACUCUGAUGCCAGACAGCACAGGACCCAAUCCCCUCACUCCGACGGGCCCCAAUUCCCGGGGAGAGGGCAACCACACGAGUACACAAAACACGCACAGCCCGGAUCCCCAACUCCCCCUGCUAGACCACACUCAGGGCACUGCCCUCUCGCCCAGCCCUCCGACUGCCCAGGGCCUCCCUGCUCUCCUCGCUCCCUCACCUAUCCCUACUCCUGGCUCUCUCACCCCCUCUCUCACUCUCCCUGCUCCCUGUUGUUGUUGUUGUUGUUGUUGUUGUUGUUGUUGUUGUUGUUGUUGUUGUUGAUGGGGUGUUACACUGUGGGCGGCUCGCCCGAUAAAGGACGAGCACCGGGGGCCCUGACCGGGCCGAAACACAGCGCAGGGAAGGGCGCGCGGCUUUACGACCGUCUGUUCCUCCGCGCGCGCCUCAUUCCCUCACUCGCGCCAACCGGGACACUCUCCCAGCCCCUGGCUAGGCAACACAGCGGCGCAGAAGACUGCAAACCGAUCUAUGCAAGAACCGCACGAAAGGCGCCACUUCGCCUGGCCUGCCUAUUCACGCGCUCUCGUCCCUCUUGACCGCCAAAACCAGAACAAAAAGAAAACACCACCGGGGGCAGGGGCUCUACUCGGGGGCCUCCUCUACACACACAAAAACCAGGGCCCCACGCAGCCAGCAAGGCAAGGGAGACACGGAGGACCACGGGCCUGAGACGACACACCGCANAAGCCGAGACACGGUUGCACAGAAAAGACCAACACAAAGCGAGUACUCGCACACUGGUCCUCGAAGGCCAGCUGUUCAACUACCACGAGCAACGAACAACGAACACUUCCCGAGGGUGGCCACCACUACCUCUCCGGUCCACUCACAAACGAGGCGAAACUGGUCCGCACGUCAGUCUCCUCCUGGGGGUUGCGGGCUCUCGGAUGCAGCCCAGCGCGAGACACAGCAAAAACACCUAUAGCCGCGGGGGGGAUGACAAGCCAGCACGGCGCCCCCCUAUAAAGCCCGGAGAAGGCACGGCUCACAGACGCCGCCUGCUCUCGCUUACCACACUGAAAUCCCUCCCCUCCUGACCCUGACCGGCCGGAGCCAGCAACACCUGUUCUCCACCUCCAAACCACUCUCCUCCACCGCUUUCCCACCUCCUCUCCGCUCCCACAAGCCACCUACGUGUUCUCUACUCUGAUGCCAGACAGCACAGGACCCAAUCCCCUCACUCCGACGGGCCCCAAUUCCCGGGGAGAGGGCAACCACACGAGUACACAAAACACGCACAGCCCGGAUCCCCAACUCCCCCUGCUAGACCACACUCAGGGCACUGCCCUCUCGCCCAGCCCUCCGACUGCCCAGGGCCUCCCUGCUCUCCUCGCUCCCUCACCUAUCCCUACUCCUGGCUCUCUCACCCCCUCUCUCACUCUCCCUGCUCCCUGUUGUUGUUGUUGUUGUUGUUGUUGUUGUUGUUGUUGUUGUUGUUGUUGUUGAUGGGGUGUUACACUGUGGGCGGCUCGCCCGAUAAAGGACGAGCACCGGGGGCCCUGACCGGGCCGAAACACAGCGCAGGGAAGGGCGCGCGGCUUUACGACCGUCUGUUCCUCCGCGCGCGCCUCAUUCCCUCACUCGCGCCAACCGGGACACUCUCCCAGCCCCUGGCUAGGCAACACAGCGGCGCAGAAGACUGCAAACCGAUCUAUGCAAGAACCGCACGAAAGGCGCCACUUCGCCUGGCCUGCCUAUUCACGCGCUCUCGUCCCUCUUGACCGCCAAAACCAGAACAAAAAGAAAACACCACCGGGGGCAGGGGCUCUACUCGGGGGCCUCCUCUACACACACAAAAACCAGGGCCCCACGCAGCCAGCAAGGCAAGGGAGACACGGAGGACCACGGGCCUGAGACGACACACCGCANAAGCCGAGACACGGUUGCACAGAAAAGACCAACACAAAGCGAGUACUCGCACACUGGUCCUCGAAGGCCAGCUGUUCAACUACCACGAGCAACGAACAACGAACACUUCCCGAGGGUGGCCACCACUUCCUCGCCGGUCCACUCACAAACGAGGCGAAACUGGUCCGCACGUCAG
rnacentral:lncRNA from 1 species